rnacentral:rRNA from 1 species
GACGAACGCUGGCGGCGUGCCUAAUACAUGCAAGUCGAGCGGACGAAUCGAAAGCUUGCUUUUGAUUCGUUAGCGGCGGACGGGUGAGUAACACGUGGGCAACCUGCCCUGUAGACGGGGAUAACACCGAGAAAUCGGUGCUAAUACCGGAUAACACGAAAUGUCGCAUGACGUUUCGUUGAAAGACGGCGCAAGCUGUCGCUACAGGAUGGGCCCGCGGCGCAUUAGCUAGUUGGUGAGGUAACGGCUCACCAAGGCGACGAUGCGUAGCCGACCUGAGAGGGUGAUCGGCCACACUGGGACUGAGACACGGCCCAGACUCCUACGGGAGGCAGCAGUAGGGAAUCUUCCGCAAUGGACGAAAGUCUGACGGAGCAACGCCGCGUGAGCGAAGAAGGCCUUCGGGUCGUAAAGCUCGGUUGUUAGGGAAGAACAAGUAACGCAGUAACUGGCGUUACCGUGACGGUACCUAACGAGAAAGCCACGGCUAACUACGUGC